GAAGAGACAGUUGCGUAUGUGGUGUGGCUGACUCGCCAUUGGAUGCGUUUCAUAUUAUCGCUGUUUGUACUUUUUUGUCAAAAUUACGUGAGGAGACCUUUGGGGUUCCCUGUUUUUCAUUUAAUCAGUUUAAAAAAGUUAUUUCUGAUUUUGAUUUAUUUUUUAAGGCUUAAAGUGAAAGUAGUGGUUAUUUUUAUGUAAAUUUCGGUUUGGGGCGUGGUCUGCCUAUUAUUUAACCUGUGGUUGCUUGGACUGCUUGGGAGACUAUCCGAUUUUUUUGAAAGAGCGAUAUAAACUGUUGUUUUUCUUUUUUUAGGUAAGUUUACUUUAUAAAUAUGUCCCAGACUCGGAAGAGGAAGACUUUUUCUCCAACCGUUCCGGAAAGAUCAACAACUAGAUUUAGGGAAGAGACAGUUGCGUAUGUGGUGUGGCUGACUCGCCAUUGGAUGCGUUUCAUAUUAUCGCUGUUUGUACUUUUUUGUCAAAAUUACGUGAGGAGACCUUUGGGGUUCCCUGUUUUUCAUUUAAUCAGUUUAAAAAAGUUAUUUCUGAUUUUGAUUUAUUUUUUAAGGCUUAAAGUGAAAAUAGUGGUUAUUUUUUAUGUAAAUUUCGGUUUGGGGCGUGGUCUGCCUAUUAUUUAACCUGUGGUUGCUUGGACUGCUUGGGAGACUAUCCGAUUUUUUUGAAAGAGCGAUAUAAACUGUUGUUUUUCUUUUUUAGGUAAGUUUUUUAACCUAGUUGGUUGUUUAUUUUUUUCGGAUUUAUUUAUUUUUUUUUUCGGAUAGUUCUCCCAUGUAGUUUAAGUUUUUGUUUUUUCCUUUUGUUGAAUUUGGUUUAAAAUAAUUUUUUGAAUUGUGUAAUUUUCUAUUAAUAUUAAAUUAUGUUACUGCAAUGGACGGAUAUAAUCUGUGAAAUGUGUAUAUUAUUUUGUAAUGUUUUUGUAUACUUUGUUUUAUGCUAUAUCCCCGCAUCAGGGUCUUUGUACCAGAAUGCUAAAUA